rnacentral:rRNA from 1 species
UACGUAGGGGCCAAGCGUUGUCCGGAUUUAUUGGGCGUAAAGAGCUCGUAGGCGGUUUGUCGCGUCGAAUGUGAAAACCCGGGGCUCAACUCCGGGCCUGCAUUCGAUACGGGCAGACUAGAGUUCGGUAGGGGAGUCUGGAAUUCCUGGUGUAGCGGUGAAAUGCGCAGAUAUCAGGAGGAACACCGGUGGCGAAGGCGGGUCUCUGGGCCGAUACUGACGCUGAGGAGCGAAAGCGUGGGGAGCGAACAGG